UUUGGAGGCCCCAUCAAAGACCAAUGUGAGGCCCUUCUCCAUUUUGCUUAACGCAAUAAUAGCUAGUGAACAAAAACUAUUUGGAGGCAGCUCUUUUCAGUUAACAAAGCCACAGAACUAAAGGACAGACCCAAAUGAGAAUUCUAACUGAAGAACUUCAAAUGACCUUUAGUCAUAUAAGUAUAUAAUCUUUAAUUCUUUCAAGACAAAAGUAUAGUACAUGCUUUUUGAUAAAGCAUUUGAACAUCCACUAUUCUCUAGGGGUAAAAGUUCCGGUCCGAGCAGGUGUCUGGUUUGUGGUGGGCUGCUGGUUUCUGCCGGUGUUGCCUCUGACACUUUCCUCCCACACUGUAGCUGGUUCACCGCAACCAGCAGAGACAGAAGUUGUAGUAUUAGGGAGGGCAAAACGGAGCUUUAGAAUGUCGCCAGCAGUGUAUGCGCGUGAGCUUGACAAUACAUUUCUCACAGAAAAGGUCUUGCGACAAGGUUUUUUCGCCUUUUUUAGUUCAUUGCAGUGGGGAUAGAAGUGACUAUAAUUAAGUGGUACUGUGCUGUUAGCCUUUAUUGAUUGCCGUACAAGGUUAAUGUGAAGUAGCUAGCACAAUCUGACAGUACUAACUCAUAAAAAUGUACUUUAAAUGGUACUUGAUCAAUCGAACGGUAAAUGUGAAAAACAUUCGAUUAUAGUCAGCGGCACCGACAUUUUCAGUCACACUCUCAAUAAACUGCAAAAGUCCCAGUAGAAGAUUGCAUCUUUAAAAGUUAUAUAUUUUCUGAAACAUUAUCGAUUCUGCUUGGCCAUAGUGAGUGAAACUAGGCGAUCUGAGCAUACAGUCGCUAUGUAAAUUACGUCAAAAGGAUUCAGCCUUGUUGUUUGUUGUUGUGAAUGAAUCUUUUUAGUAAACUGAUUCUACUGAUUCAGUACACUAAAAAGAACUGUUUUGCCCAUCACUAUCUCAAAUACACUUUGAAAACGCUUCAUGGUAACAAAGAUAGUGACUCUCCGCCUCUGAUGGCAACUCAAAUUUCUACGUCAUUGAUUAGGCGAAAAUGCAGGAAGGUCAAGGUGGAAUAGUCCAUUAAAUGUGAAAUGUGGGUGAUAAUAAAUAUUGGCAAAUAUAGAUAUUUAAUUGGAUAAGCCCACAUUUACAUGUGGAUAGAUUUAUUUUUAUCUAUUACAGAUUAUCAUUUGUUUGGAGUGACAAGGAAGGAGAAAUGUUUUAU